UACGUAGGGGGCAAGCGUUGUCCGGAUUUACUGGGCGUAAAGAGCGUGUAGGCGGCCACGCAGGUCCGUUGUGAAAACUGGAGGCUCAACCUCCAGACGCGACGGAAACCGUAUGGCUAGAGUCCGGAAGAGGAGAGUGGAAUUCUUGGUGUAGCAGUGAAAUGCGUAGAUAUCAAGAGGAACACCAGUGGCGAAGGCGAGUCCCCUGGACAACACCUGACACUGAGGCACGAAGGUCAGGGGAGCAAACGGG
rnacentral:rRNA from 1 species